rfam:Ictidomys tridecemlineatus contig034213, whole genome shotgun sequence.
UGGGUUGUGGCUCAGUGGUAGAGCAAUCAUCUUGCAUGGGUGAGGCUCUGGGUUCAAUCCUCAGCACCACAA